rnacentral:lncRNA from 1 species
AAUAAACCCAACAAGUACAACCGUGCAAUUGAGCCCAACUCUAAAUUACAUAACACACUUUCUCUUUCAGACUUUCACUGUUGCACAUAACCCUAAACAUGAUAACAUUCAAAUUCCCAAAUUCCUAAUUUGUUUCCCCUCUCUCUCUCUCUCUCUCUAUGAGACCAUCAUCCAGUCAGCAGUCACCCUAGCACACAUUUCUUACAAAUUAUUUUGUAUUUUGAACUAUUGGACAUGUUACAUCAAAUUACAGGUAAUAUUCUAUAAAAAUUAAACUAUUGAUUAUAUAAUGUCGAGAAUUUCAAUCGGCUCGUUUAGAGCUCGAGCUC